rnacentral:rRNA from 1 species
CCAGAGUUUGAUCAUGGCUCAGGACGAACGCUGGCGGCGUGCCUAAUACAUGCAAGUCGAGCGCGGGAAGCAGACUGAAUCCUUCGGGAGGACGUCUGUGGAACGAGCGGCGGACGGGUGAGUAACACGUGGGCAACCUGCCUGUAAGACUGGGAUAACUCCGGGAAACCGGGGCUAAUACCGGAUAACUCAACGAACCGCAUGGUUCGGUGUUAAAAGAUGGCUUCUGCUAUUACUUACAGAUGGGCCCGCGGCGCAUUAGCUAGUUGGUGAGGUAACGGCUCACCAAGGCCACGAUGCGUAGCCGACCUGAGAGGGUGAUCGGCCACACUGGGACUGAGACACGGCCCAGACUCCUACGGGAGGCAGCAGUAGGGAAUCAUCCGCAAUGGACGAAAGUCUGACGGUGCAACGCCGCGUGAGUGAUGAAGGUUUUCGGAUCGUAAAACUCUGUUGUUAGGGAAGAACACGUGCUGUUCGAAUAGGGCAGUGCCUUGACGGUACCUAACCAGAAAGCCACGGCUAACUACGUGCCAGCAGCCGCGGUAAUACGUAGGUGGCAAGCGUUGUCCGGAAUUAUUGGGCGUAAAGCGCGCGCAGGCGGUUUCUUAAGUCUGAUGUGAAAGGCCAUAGCUCAACUAUGGAGGGCCAUUGGAAACUGGGGAACUUGAGUACAGAAGAGGAGAGCGGAAUUCCACGUGUAGCGGUGAAAUGCGUAGAUAUGUGGAGGAACACCAGUGGCGAAGGCGGCUCUCUGGUCUGUGACUGACGCUGAGGCGCGAAAGCAUGGGUAGCGAACAGGAUUAGAUACCCUGGUAGUCCAUGCCGUAAACGAUGAGUGCUAGGUGUUAGGGGGUCCAACCCUUAGUGCUGCAGUUAACGCAAUAAGCACUCCGCCUGGGGAGUACGGCCGCAAGGCUGAAACUCAAAGGAAUUGACGGGGGCCCGCACAAGCGGUGGAGCAUGUGGUUUAAUUCGACGCAACGCGAAGAACCUUACCAGG